CAAUAGCGUAUAUUAAAGUUGUUGCAGUUAAAAAGCUCGUAGUUGAAUUUUUGCUUGCCGCCGAUGUCGGAACUUCCGUACGUUCGGCGGCGUGCAUCCUUGGGUGGAACCUGUGUGGCAUUAGGUUGUCGUGCAGGGGAUGCUCAUCGUUUACUGUGAAAAAAUUAGAGUGUUCAAAGCAGGCUUACGCCGUUGAAUAUAUUAGCAUGGAAUAAUAAGAUAGGACCUUGGUACUAUUUUGUUGGUUUGCGCACCGAGGUAAUGAUUAACAGGGACAGUUGGGGGUAUUCGUAUUCCAUUGUCAGAGGUGAAAUUCUUGGAUUUCUGGAAGACGAACUACUGCGAAAGCAUUUACCAAGGAUGUCUUCAUUAA
rnacentral:rRNA from 1 species